ensembl:snoRNA
UGGACCCAUCAUGACAUCUGGUUGCAUGUGAGUGACUUGGGAUGAGCACCUGGUGUCUGAAACUCUGAGGUCCCU